rnacentral:rRNA from 1 species
UACGGGGGGAGCAAGCGUUGUUCGGAUUUACUGGGCGUAAAGAGCGUGUAGGCGGCCAAACAGGUCCGUUGUGAAAACUGGAGGCUUAACCUCCAGACGUCGACGGAAACCGUGUGGCUAGAGUCCGGAAGAGGAGAGUGGAAUUCCUGGUGUAGCGGUGAAAUGCGCAGAUAUCAGGAAGAACACCAAUGGCGAAGGCAGCUCUCUGGGACGGUACUGACGCUGAGACGCGAAAGCGUGGGGAGCGAACAGG